rnacentral:rRNA from 1 species
UACGUAGGCAGCAAGCGUUUGUUCGGAAUUACUGGGCGUAAAGAGUGUGUAGGCGGUGCCCUAAGUUCGGUGUGAAAUCUCCCCGGCUUAACUGGGAGGGUGCGCCGGAAACUGGAGUGCUCGAGCGUGGGAGAGGAAAGCGGAAGUCCUGGUGUAGCGGUGAAAUGCGUAGAUAUCAGGAGGAACACCUGCGGUGUAGACGGCUUUCUGGACCAUUGCUGACGCUGAGACACGAAAGCGUGGGCAGCAAACAGG